GGUUACAUAGCUCAGUGGUAGAGUGCAUGCUUGGAGUGCAUGAGGUCCUGGGUUCAAUUCCCAGUUCCUCCA
rnacentral:tRNA from 1 species